GAUGAACGCUGGCGGCGUGCCUAACACAUGCAAGUCGAGCGAUUCUCUUCGGAGGAGAGCGGCGGACGGGUGAGUAACGCGUGGGUAACCUGCCCUGUACACACGGAUAACAUACAGAAAGGUAUGCUAAUACGAGAUAAUAUACUUUUAUCGCAUGGUAGAAGUAUCAAAGCUUUUGCGGUACAGGAUGGACCCGCGUCUGAUUAGCUAGUUGGUAAGGUAACGGCUUACCAAGGCGACGAUCAGUAGCCGACCUGAGAGGGUGAUCGGCCACAUUGGAACUGAGACACGGUCCAAACUCCUACGGGAGGCAGCAGUGGGGAAUAUUGCACAAUGGGCGAAAGCCUGAUGCAGCAACGCCGCGUGAGCGAUGAAGGCCUUCGGGUCGUAAAGCUCUGUCCUCAAGGAAGAUAAUGACGGUACUUGAGGAGGAAGCCCCGGCUAACUACGUGCCAGCCGCCGCCUAA
rnacentral:rRNA from 1 species